UGAUGAGAAUAAUGAUGAUGAUGAUGAUGAUGAUGAUAUUGUGAUGGGAUAUGACAUGUAUUUUAAGCAUUAUCAUUAUCGUCAUCAUCACCAUCAUCAUCACCAUCA
rnacentral:miRNA from 1 species